GACGAACGCUGGCGGCGUGCUUAACACAUGCAAGUCGAACGGAAAGGCCCUGCUUGCAGGGUACUCGAGUGGCGAACGGGCGAGUAACACGUGGGUGAUCUGCCCUGCACUUCGGGAUAAGCCUGGGAAACUGGGUCUAAUACCGGAUAGGAGCCAUUUUUAGUGUGAUGGUUGGAAAGUUUUUUCGGUGUAGGAUGAGCUCGCGGCCUAUCCGCUUGUUGGUGGGGUAAUGGCCUACCAAGGCGGCGACGGGUAGCCGGCCUGAGAGGGUGGACGGCCACAUUGGGACUGAGAUACGGCCCAGACUCCGACGGGAGGCAGCAGUGGGGAAUAUUGCACAAUGGGCGCAAGCCUGAUGCAGCGACGCCGCGUGGGGGAUAACGGCCUUCGGGUUGUAAACUCCUUUCGCUAGGGACGAAGCUUUUUGUGACGGUACCUAGAUAAGAAGCACCGGCUAACUACGUG
rnacentral:rRNA from 1 species